rnacentral:rRNA from 1 species
GAUGAACGCUGGCGGCGUGCCUAAUACAUGCAAGUCGAGCGAAUGGAUUAAGAGCUUGCCCUUAUGAAGUUAGCGGCGGACGGGUGAGUAACACGUGGGUAACCUGCCCAUAAGACUGGGAUAACUCCGGGAAACCGGGGCUAAUACCGGAUAACAUUUUGAACCGCAUGGUUCGAAAUUGAAAGGCGGCUUCGGCUGUCACUUAUGGAUGGACCCGCGUCGCAUUAGCUAGUUGGUGAGGUAACGGCUCACCAAGGCAACGAUGCGUAGCCGACCUGAGAGGGUGAUCGGCCAAAAUGGGACUGAGACACGGCCCAGACUCCUACGGGAGGCAGCAGUAAGGAAUCUUCCGCAAUGGACGAAAGUCUGACGGAGCAACGCCGCGUGAGUGAUGAAGGCUUUCGGGUCGUAAAACUCUGUUGUUAGGGAAGAACAAGUGCUAGUUGAAUAAGCUGGCACCUUGACGGUACCUAACCAGAAAGCCACGGCUAACUACGUGCCAGCCGCCGCAGUAA